UACGUAGGGUGCGAGCGUUGUCCGGAAUUAUUGGGCGUAAAGAGCUUGUAGGCGGUUUGUCGCGUCUGCUGUGAAAUUUCGGGGCUCAACCCCGAACUUGCAGUGGGUACGGGCAGACUAGAGUGUGGUAGGGGAGACUGGAAUUCCUGGUGUAGCGGUGGAAUGCGCAGAUAUCAGGAGGAACACCGAUGGCGAAGGCAGAUCUCUGGGCCGUAACUGACGCUGAGGAGCGAAAGCAUGGGGAGCGAACAGG
rnacentral:rRNA from 1 species